GCCAGUGAUGGCAUGCGAAUCUCGAAAGCCUAUCUCAGUUCGGAUUGGAGGCUGAAACCCGCCUCCAUGAAGUUGGAUUCGCUAGUAAUCGCGCAUCAGCCAUGGCGCGGUGAAUACGUUCCCGGGCCUUGUACACACCGCCCGUCAAGCCAUGGAAGCCGGGGGUGCCUGAAGUGUGCAGCCGCAAGGAGCGCCCUAAGGUAAAACCGGUGACUGGGGCUAAGUCGUAACAAGGUACC
rnacentral:rRNA from 1 species